rnacentral:rRNA from 1 species
GGGGGCCACGAAAAUUAGAGGGGGGGGAAUACACACAAGGGGUAUGUUCCCAGACACCCAGGGGGGCGGGGGGCAGUGCUCUAUAACACGUGCUCACUCUCCCCCUGAGAGGGGGAGAUACCCUGGGGAAAUGGGGGUUAUAUCCCCAUAGGUGAGGAGUCCUUGAAUGGGUUCUCUCUGCAAAGGAUUAUAUAGCCAUGUUUCUUGGCGUCGCUCGAGGAUGGGGCUGCGGCCGAUCAGGUAGUUGGUGAGGUAACGGCUCACCAAGCCUAUAACCGGUACGGGCCGUGAGAGAGGGAGCCCGGAGAUGGACACUGAGACAAGGGUCCAGGCCCUACGGGGCGCAGCAGGCGCGAAACCUCCCCAAUGCGCGAAAGCGUGACGGGGACUGCCCGAGUGCCUUCCGCUGAGGAUGGCUUUUCCCCAGUGUAGAG